rnacentral:misc_RNA from 1 species
GAUGAAGAACGUAGCGAAAUGCGAUAAGUAAUGCGAAUUGCAGAAUUCAGUGAAUCAUCGAAUCUUUGAACGCACAUUGCGCCCGCCAGUAUUCUGGCGGGCAUGCCUGUCUGAGCGUCGUUUCGACCCUCGCGCCCGGCUUCUGUCGGGGGCGGUGUUGGGGAUCGGCCACACCCUUCAGUGGGAGGCCGGCCCCUAAAUUCAGUGGCGACCACGCUGUAGCCUCCCCUGCGUAGUACUAAAACCACCUCGCAGGCGGAGAGCGGUGCGGCCCGCCGUAAAACCCCCCAACUUUUACAAGGUCGACCUCAGAUCAGGUAGGAAUACCCGCUGAACUUAAGCAUAUCAAUAAGCGGAG